rnacentral:lncRNA from 1 species
CUUAGGGUUUGGGUUAGGGUUAGGGUUGGAGCUAGGGUUAGGGUUAGGGUUAAGGUUGGAGCUAGGGUUAGGGUUAGAGGGUUAGGAUUAGGGUGGAGCUAGGGUUAGGGUUAGGGUUAGAGCUAGGGUUAGGGUUGGGGCUAGGGUUGGGGUUAGGGUUAAGGUUGGAGCUAGGGUUAGGGUUAGGGUUAGGGUUGGAGCCAGGGUUAGGGUUAGGGUUGGAGUUAGGGUUAGUGUUGGAGCUAGGGUUAGGGUUGGGCUUGGAGCUAGGAUUUUUCUGAGUGCAAUGAACCAACUCCCGAGUCUCUAGGACGUUCCUAAAAAAAUUGGAUUUUUUCCCAUAGGAAUGCAUGGGAAAAAAAAUUUGAAAAAUUUUUUAAGUGCCAACCCAAUUUUUCACCUUCCAUAAUUGUGUUAGGAGCACGUUUCAGGGCACGGGGAGUCUAUAGAACCUAAUUAUGGGGGAAGUUUUUUGCAAAGUUUACUUAGGGCUUGGGUUAGGGUUAGGGUUGGAGCUAGGGUUAGGGUUAGGGUUAAGGUUGGAGCUAGGGUUAGGGUUAGGGUUAGGAUUAGGGUGGAGCUAGGGUUAGGGUUAGGGUUAGAGCUAGGGUUAGGGUUGGGGCUAGGGUUAGGGUUAGGGUUAGGGUUAAGGUUGGAGCUAGGGUUAGGGUUAGGGUUAGGGUUGGAGCCAGGGUUAGGGUUAGGGUUAGGGUUGGAGUUAGGGUUAGUGUUGGAGCUAGGGUUAGGGUUGGGCUUGGAGCUAGGAUUUUUCUGAGUGCAAUGAACCAACUCCCGAAUCUCUAGGACGUUCCUAAAAAAAAUUGAUUUUUUCCCAUAGGAAUGCAUGGGUUAGGUUUAGGGUUAGGGUUGGAGCUAGGGUUAGGGUUAGGGUUAGGGUUGGAGUUAGGGUUAGUGUUGGAGCUAGGGUUAGGGUUGGGCUUGGAGCUAGGAUUUUUCUGAGUGCAAUGAACCAACUCCCGAGUCUCUAGGACGUUCCUAAAAAAAAUAGAUUUUUUUCCCAUAGGAAUGCAUGGGUUAGGGUUAGGGUUAGGGUUAGGGUUGGAGCUAGGGUUAGGGUUAGGGUUGGAGUUGGAGUUAGGGUUAGUGUUGGAGCUAGGGUUAGGGGUGGGCUUGGAGCUAGGAUUUUUCUGAGUGUAAUGAACCAACUCCCGAAUCUCUAGGACGUUCCUAAAAAAAUUUGAUUUUUUCCCAUAGGAAUGCAUGGGUUAGGUUUAGGGUUAGGGUUGGAGCUAGGGUUAGGAUUAGGGUUAGGGUUGGAGUUAGGGUUAGUGUUGGAGCUAGGGUUAGGGUUGGGCUUGGAGCUAGGAUUUUUCUGAGUGCAAUGAACCAACUCCCGAGUCUCUAGGAUGUUCCUACAAAAAUUUGAUUUUUUCCCAUAGGAAUGCAUGGGUUAGGGUUAGGGUUAGGGUUGGAGCUAGGGUUAGGGUUAGGGUUAGGGUUGGAGUUAGGGUUAGUGUUGGAGCUAGGGUUAGGGUUGGGCUUGGAGCUAGGAUUUUUCUGAGUGCAAUGAACCAACUCCCGAAUCUCUAGGACGUUCCUAAAAAAAUUUGAUUUUUUCCCAUAGGAAUGCAUGGGUUAGGUUUAGGGUUAGGGUUGGAGCUAGGGUUAGGGUUAGGGUUGGAGUUAGGGUUAAUGUUGGAGCUAGGGUUAAGGGAUGGGCUUGGAGCUAGGAUUUUUCUGAGUGCAAUGAACCAACUCCCGAGUCUCUAGGACGUUCCUAAAAAAAUUAAUUUUAUCCCAUAGGAAUGCAUGGGUUAGGUUUAGGGUUAGGGUUGGCGCUAGGGUUAGGGUUAGGGUUAGGGUUGGAGUUAGGGUUAGUGUUGGAGCUAGGGUUAGGGUUGGGCUUGGAGCUAGGAUUUUUCUGAGUGCAAUGAACCAACUCCCGAGUCUCUAGGACGUUCCUAAAAAAAAAUGAUUUUUUCCCAUAGGAAUGCAUGGGUUAGGGUUAGGGUUAGGGUUGGAGCUAGGGUUAGGGUUAGGGUUAGGGUUGGAGUUAGGGUUAGUGUUGGAGCUAGGGUUAGGGUUGGGCUUGGAGGUAGGAUUUUUCUGAGUGCAAUGAACCAACUCCCGAGUCUCUAGGAUGUUCCUACAAAAAUUUGAUUUUUUCCCAUAGGAAUGCAUGGGUUAGGGUUAGGGUUAGGGUUGGAGCUAGGGUUAGGGUUAGGGUUAGGGUUGGAGUUAGGGUUAGUGUUGGAGCUAGGGUUAGGGUUGGGCUUGGAGCUAGGAUUUUUCUGAGUGCAAUGAACCAACUCCCGAGUCUCUAGGACGUUCCUAAAAAUGAUUUUUUCCCAUAGGAAUGCAUGGGUUAGGGUUAGGGUUAGGGUUGGAGCUAGGGUUAGGGUUAGGGUUAGGGUUGGAGUUAGGGUUAGUGUUGGAGCUAGGGUUAGGGUUUGGCUUGGAGCUAGGAUUUUUCUGAGUGCAAUGAACCAACUCCCGAGUCUCUAGGACGUUCCUAAAAAAAUUGAUUUUUUCCCAUAGGAAUGCAUGGGUUAGGGUUAGGGUUAGGGUUGGAGUUAGGGUUGGAGCUAGGGUUAGGGUUAGGGUUAGGGUUGGAGUUAGGGUUAGUGUUGGAGCUAGGGUUAGGGUUGGGCUUGGAGCUAGGAUUUUUCUGAGUGUAAUGAACCAACUCCCGAGUCUCUAGGACGUUCCUAAAAAAAUUUGUUUUUUUUCCCAUAGGAAUGCAUGGGUUAGGGUUAGGGUUGGAGCUAGGGUUAGGGUUAGGGUUAGGGUUGGAGUUAGGGUUAGUGUUGGAGCUAGGGUUAGGGUUGGGCUUGGAGCUAGGAUUUUUCUGAGUGCAAUGAACCAACUCCCGAGUCUCUUGGACGUUCCUAAAAAAAAAUAGAUUUUUUCCCAUAGGAAUGCAUGGGUUAGGGUUAGGGUUAGGGUUGGAGCUAGGGUUAGGGUUAGGGUUAGGGUUGGAGUUAGGGUUAGUGUUGGAGCUAGGGUUAGGGUUGGGCUUGGAGCUAGGAUUUUUCUGAGUGCAAUGAACCAAGUGCCAACCCAAUUUUUGACCUUCCAGAAUGGUGUUAGGAGCACGUUUCAGGGCACGGGGAGUCUAUAGAACCUAAUUCUGGGGGAAGUUAUUCGAAAAGUUUACUUAGGGUUUGGGUUAGGGUUUGGGUUGGAGCUAGGGUUAGGGUUAGGGUUAAGGUUGGAGCUAGGGUUAGGGUUAGGGUUAGGAUUAGGGUGGAGCUAGGGUUAGGGUUAGGGUUAGAGCUAGGGUUAGGGUUGGGGCUAGGGUUAGGGUUAGGGUUAAGGUUGGAGCUAGGGUUAGGGUUUGGGUUAGGGUUGGAGCCAGGGUUAGGGUUAGGGUUGGAGUUAGGGUUAGUGUUGGAGCUAGGGUUAGGGUUGGGCUUGGAGCUAGGAUUUUUCUGAGUGCAAUGAACCAACUCCCGAGUCUCUAGGACGUUCCUAAAAAAAUUUGAUUUUUUUCCCAUAGGAAUACAUGGGUUAGGGUUAGGGUUAGGGUUGGAGCUAGGGUUAGGGUUAGGGUUAGGGUUGGAGUUAGGGUUAGUGUUGGAGCUAGGGUUAGGGUUGGGCUUGGAGCUAGGAUUUUUCUGAGUGCAAUGAACCAACUCCCGAGUCUCUAGGACGUUCCUAAAAAAAAUUGAUUUUUUCCCAUAGGAAUGCAUGGGUUAGGGUUAGGGUUAGGGUUGGAGCUAGGGUCAGGGUUAGGGUUAGGGUUGGAGUUAGGGUUAGUGUUGGAGCUAGGGUUAGGGUUGGGCUUGGAGCUAGGAUUUUUCUGAGUGUAAUGAACCAACUCCCGAGUCUCUAGGACGUUCCUAAAAAAAAUUGAUUUUUUUCCCAUAGGAAUGCAUGGGUUAGGUUUAGGGUUAGGGUUGGAGCUAGGGUUAGGGUUAGGGUUAGGGUUGGAGUUAGGGUUAGUGUUGGAGCUAGGGUUAGGGUUGGGCUUGGAGCUAGGAUUUUUCUGAGUGCAAUGAACCAACUCCCGAGUCUCUAGGAUGUUCCUACAAAAAUUUGAUUUUUUCCCAUAGGAAUGCAUGGGUUAGGGUUAGGGUUAGGGUUGGAGCUAGGGUUAGGGUUAGGGUUAGGGUUGGAGUUAGGGUUAGUGUUGGAGCUAGGGUUAGGGUUGGGCUUGGAGCUAGGAUUUUUCUGAGUGCAAUGAACCAACUCCCGAGUCUCUAGGACGUUCCUAAAAAAAAUAGAUUUUUUUCCCAUAGGAAUGCAUGGGUUAGGGUUAGGGUUAGGGUUAGGGUUGGAGCUAGGGUUAGGGUUAGGGUUAGGGUUGGAGUUAGGGUUAGUGUUGGAGCUAGGGUUAGGGUUGGGCUUGGAGCUAGGAUUUUUCUGAGUGCAAUGAACCAACUCCCGAAUCUCUAGGACGUUCCUAAAAAAAUUUCAUUUUUUCCCAUAGGAAUGCAUGGGUUAGGUUUAGGGUUAGGGUUGGAGCUAGGGUUAGGGUUAGGGUUAGGGUUGGAGUUAGGGUUAAUGUUGGAGCUAGGGUUAAGGGAUGGGCUUGGAGCUAGGAUUUUUCUGAGUGCAAUGAACCAACUCCCGAGUCUCUAGGACGUUCCUAAAAAAAUUGAUUUUUUUCCCAUAGGAAUGCAUGGGUUAGGUUUAGGGUUAGGGUUGGCGCUAGGGUUAGGGUUAGGGUUAGGGUUGGAGUUAGGGUUAGUGUUGGAGCUAGGGUUAGGGUUGGGCUUGGAGCUAGGAUUUUUCUGAGUGCAAUGAACCAACUCCCGAGUCUCUAGGACGUUCCUAAAAAAAGAUUUUUUCCCAUAGGAAUGCAUGGGUUAGGGUUAGGGUUAGGGUUGGAGCUAGGGUUAGGGUUAGGGUUAGGGUUGGAGUUAGGGUUAGUGUUGGAGCUAGGGUUAGGGUUGGGCUUGGAGCU